UCUUAUCCAGAGUGACGGAGGGAACAGGCCCGAAGAAGUCCGGCAACCUUCAAGUGAAAGCUUGAAAAGGUGCUAAAUCCUGCAGGUGCAGUACACCUGAAAGAUAAGA
rnacentral:ncRNA from 1 species